rnacentral:rRNA from 1 species
AUGGCUCAGAUUGAACGCUGGCGGCAGGCCUAACACAUGCAAGUCGAGCGGAAACGAGUUAUCUGAACCUUCGGGGAACGAUAACGGCGUCGAGCGGCGGACGGGUGAGUAAUGCCUAGGAAAUUGCCCUGAUGUGGGGGAUAACCAUUGGAAACGAUGGCUAAUACCGCAUGAUGCCUACGGGCCAAAGAGGGGGACCUUCGGGCCUCUCGCGUCAGGAUAUGCCUAGGUGGGAUUAGCUAGUUGGUGAGGUAAGGGCUCACCAAGGCGACGAUCCCUAGCUGGUCUGAGAGGAUGAUCAGCCACACUGGAACUGAGACACGGUCCAGACUCCUACGGGAGGCAGCAGUGGGGAAUAUUGCACAAUGGGCGCAAGCCUGAUGCAGCCAUGCCGCGUGUGUGAAGAAGGCCUUCGGGUUGUAAAGCACUUUCAGUCGUGAGGAAGGUAGUGUGUUUAAUAGAUGCAUUAUUUGACGUUAGCGACAGAAGAAGCACCGGCUAACUCCGUGCCAGCAGCCGCGGUAAUACGGAGGGUGCGAGCGUUAAUCGGAAUUACUGGGCGUAAAGCGCAUGCAGGUGGUUUGUUAAGUCAGAUGUGAAAGCCCGGGGCUCAACCUCGGAAUAGCAUUUGAAACUGGCAGACUAGAGUACUGUAGAGGGGGGUAGAAUUUCAGGUGUAGCGGUGAAAUGCGUAGAGAUCUGAAGGAAUACCGGUGGCGAAGGCGGCCCCCUGGACAGAUACUGACACUCAGAUGCGAAAGCGUGGGGAGCAAACAGGAUUAGAUACCCUGGUAGUCCACGCCGUAAACGAUGUCUACUUGGAGGUUGUGGCCUUGAGCCGUGGCUUUCGGAGCUAACGCGUUAAGUAGACCGCCUGGGGAGUACGGUCGCAAGAUUAAAACUCAAAUGAAUUGACGGGGGCCCGCACAAGCGGUGGAGCAUGUGGUUUAAUUCGAUGCAACGCGAAGAACCUUACCUACUCUUGACAUCCAGAGAACUUUCCAGAGAUGGAUUGGUGCCUUCGGGAACUCUGAGACAGGUGCUGCAUGGCUGUCGUCAGCUCGUGUUGUGAAAUGUUGGGUUAAGUCCCGCAACGAGCGCAACCCUUAUCCUUGUUUGCCAGCGAGUAAUGUCGGGAACUCCAGGGAGACUGCCGGUGAUAAACCGGAGGAAGGUGGGGACGACGUCAAGUCAUCAUGGCCCUUACGAGUAGGGCUACACACGUGCUACAAUGGCGCAUACAGAGGGCGGCCAACUUGCGAAAGUGAGCGAAUCCCAAAAAGUGCGUCGUAGUCCGGAUUGGAGUCUGCAACUCGACUCCAUGAAGUCGGAAUCGCUAGUAAUCGUGGAUCAGAAUGCCACGGUGAAUACGUUCCCGGGCCUUGUACACACCGCCCGUCACACCAUGGGAGUGGGCUGCAAAAGAAGUAGGUAG